UACGGAGGGUGCAAGCGUUAUCCGGAUUCACUGGGUUUAAAGGGUGCGUAGGCGGGUAGGUAAGUCAGUGGUGAAAUCCUGGAGCUCAACUCCAGAACUGCCAUUGAUACUAUCUAUCUUGAAUAUUGUGGAGGUAAGCGGAAUAUGUCAUGUAGCGGUGAAAUGCUUAGAUAUGACAUAGAACACCCAUUGCGAAGGCAGCUUACUACGCAUAUAUUGACGCUGAGGCACGAAAGCGUGGGGAUCAAACAGGAUUAGAUACCCUGGUAGUCCACGCCCUAAACUAUGGAUACUCGACAUAUGCGAUACACUGUAUGUGUCUGAGCGAAAGCAUUAAGUAUCCCACCUGGGAAGUACGUUCGCAAGAAUGAAACUCAAAGGAAUUGGCGGGGGUCCGCACAAGCGGUGGAGUAUGUGGUUUAAUUCGAUGAUACGCGAGGAACCUUACCUGGGCUAGAAUGCUGGGAGACCGCUAGUGAAAGCUAGUUUUGUAGCAAUACACUGCCAGUAAGGUGCUGCAUGGCCGUCGUCAGCUCGUGCCGUGAGGUGUUGGGUUAAGUCCCGCAACGAGCGCAACCCCUAUCUUUAGUUGCCAACAGGUAAUGCUGGGAACUCUAAAGAAACUGCCGCCGUAAGGUGUGAGGAAGGAGGGGAUGAUGUCAGGUCAUCAUGGCCUUUAUGCCCAGGGCUACACACGUACUACAAUGGGGGAGACAAAGGGCUGCAACAUAGCGAUAUGAAGCCAAUCCCAAAAACUCCCUCUCAGUUCAGAUUGCAGGCUGCAACUCGCCUGCAUGAAGCUGGAAUCGCUAGUAAUCGUAUAUCAGCAAUGAUACGGUGAAUACGUUCCCGGACCU
rnacentral:rRNA from 1 species